rnacentral:rRNA from 1 species
AUUGAACGCUGGCGGCAGGCUUAACACAUGCAAGUCGAGCGGGGUGAUGGUGCUUGCACUAUCACUUAGCGGCGGACGGGUGAGUAAUGCUUAGGAAUCUGCCUAUUAGUGGGGGACAACAUCUCGAAAGGGAUGCUAAUACCGCAUACGUCCUACGGGAGAAAGCAGGGGAUCACUUGUGACCUUGCGCUAAUAGAUGAGCAUAAGUCGGAUUAGCUAGUUGAUGGGGUAAAGGCCUACCAAGGCGACGAUCUGUAGCGGGUCUGAGAGGAUGAUCCGCCACACUGGGACUGAGACACGGCCCAGACUCCUACGGGAGGCAGCAGUGGGGAAUAUUGGACAAUGGGGGGAACCCUGAUCCAGCCAUGCCGCGUGUGUGAAGAAGGCCUUAUGGUUGUAAAGCACUUUAAGCGAGGAGGAGGCUCUUUUGGUUAAUACCCAAGAUGAGUGGACGUUACUCGCAGAAUAAGCACCGGCUAACUCUGUGCCAGCCGCCGCGGUAAUAC